rnacentral:rRNA from 1 species
UUGGCGGACGGGUGAGUAACGCGUGGGGAACCUGCCCUGUACAGGGGGAUAACACUUAGAAAUAGGUGCUAAUACCGCAUAAGCGCACAGUAUCGCAUGAUACAGUGUGAAAAACUCCGGUGGUACAGGAUGGACCCGCGUCUGAUUAGCUGGUUGGCGGGGUAACGGCCCACCAAGGCGACGAUCAGUAGCCGGCCUGAGAGGGUGAACCGGCCACAUUGGGACUGAGACACGGCCAAACUCCUACGGGAGGCAGCAG